UCCUGGAACCACUAGAGGUAGAGGCGCUAGAAGACAUUUUAAGCAAGAACCCUGGAAAUCCCGAAGAGAUCAGGCGAAAUCAGAGUCGAAAGGUUCAUGGGAGACCUAACAAGAAGAAUGCAGCAGAAGGAAAAUGGAGGAGAAGAGGCACUUAGAUGGCAAGAGAAGGGACGAAGGUUUUGAGACUAACCUAAAUCGCUCCGAAGGAUGCAGGGGCGCAGGGAUAGAGGUGACUCGAAGAACACCUAGGGCCAAAGCGGACACCA
rnacentral:lncRNA from 1 species